UACAGAGGUCUCAAGCGUUGUUCGGAUUCAUUGGGCGUAAAGGGUGCGUAGGCGGGUCUUUAAGUCAGGGGUGAAAUCCUGGAGCUCAACUCCAGAACUGCCUUUGAUACUGAAGAUCUUGAGUCCGGGAGAGGUGAGUGGAACUGCGAGUGUAGAGGUGAAAUUCGUAGAUAUUCGGAAGAACACCAGUGGCGAAGGCGGCUCACUGGCCCGGUACUGACGCUGAGGUGCGAAAGCGUGGGGAGCAAACAGG
rnacentral:rRNA from 1 species